rnacentral:snRNA from 22 species
AUACUUACCUUGUUGGGAAGCGGCUGCUCACGAAUAGCUUGCUUCAGUUCGGGCCUCUUGCAUUGCACCGCGCUUGAGGCUUGGGCUCGAAUCUCCUACGGGGGCUUCGCCGGCGCAAUUUUUGCUGGUUCACACGAU